rnacentral:misc_RNA from 1 species
CCGAGUCCUGGGGAUCUAACCGGUCCUCAACCUCUCAACCCCUUGCGAACGUACCUCGUUGCUUCGGCGGGCCUGCUGGCUCCACGGUCAGCUGCCGGCUCAGGCUGGCUCGCGCCCGCCGAAGGGUCAUCGUAAACUCUUCGCACCGAAAUCAAGUCCGAGCGGGUUCAUGGGAAAUGAAGCA